rnacentral:tRNA from 1 species
CCCUGGUUAGCUCAGUUGUUAGAGCGCUCCACCUGUAAUGGAGAGGUCCCGGGUUCGAUACCCGGACCAGGCG